rnacentral:tRNA from 2 species
GGUGAGUUGGCUGAGUGGUUGAAGGCGCACGACUGGAACUCGUGUAAGGGUUUAUAGCCCUUCGAGGAUUCGAAUUCCUCACUCACCGCCA